GAUAAAAUAAGCUAACCUAAGCUAUUGGGCUCAUACCCCGAAAAUGGACACCAUUCCUUUUAUCA
rnacentral:tRNA from 1 species